UUUAUUGGACAAAUUCUGUACAAGGUACAAUCCACAUUCAAUACUUUAUUUUAUACAUCUUUAUUUAUUCCCAACUUGCAUAUAUAUUUAGUUAUCUUUGUAAUAACUUCAGCACAUAAUUAAACAAAGGAAACCUGAACAUAAGAAAUAUAUACAUAUUCCUACUGUUAUAACUUCUCUCUCAACUUUACAAAAGUACUUCAUUACUUUUGAAAAAACAUAGGAAAAAUAUAGAAAAUUUAAAAUAAAUUACAAAUGUAAAAACUAACCCUUCCCUCACAAACAUUACAUUUAUAAAGAGAUCCGACCCAACCCUCCCAACCCAACACCUGGACGCAAAGAAAAAUAAACAGUUUGAAUGACACGCAUAUGACCGACUAUCACAGCAAUUACCAGUGUGAGCACAAGUUAAGAGUAUUUAUGUUAGCUUAUACACAGAUGUUUAUGGGCACAAUCUAGAAAACAUUCAGAUGAUGGCUAGGGACACUCCCCCUGCUAUCCAAAUCUCAUUGGAACAGAACCAACAUUUCUUAGCAGAUGCAGCUGUAUCAUCAUGGGGGGGGGGGGGGGCAUCUAUAGCCCAAUAAUAUGAAGUGCUGGAUGGCUCAAAAGGAAAGGUGGGGUUAGGAGGCUGCCUGAACCCUGGUGACAAUUACUGCCCCCUCUAUUACCUAUAUGGAGACAGGGUAUCAUCACCAUCAAUAUGAGAAUGAUCUGACAUGGCUUCAUAAAGUGACAAAAACACAGGUUUAGUUAACAUUCAUAGUCCUGGAAAUUGAAAAGGAAAACAGCUUUCAUUAUAUGAUGCUGGUCUCCCACUGGAGCAGCAACUGGAACAGAGAUAAUUAAGGGGUUAAAGAGCAGGGGACCUAGCGUGGGCCUUUGGCUGCAACGCCACUAAAGUUCUACAGAAACGUGCUCCGGGUUUUGAAGUGUCAGUCUAAAGCCAUUGCACCCAAGAUGCCAAAAGGUGUUAAAACGUCAUCGAUGCCCCUGCCUUGCCAUCCAUUUCCCCUCUCCUUACUCCCUCCCUGUCCUCCUUUCCCUGCAGAGUAAGACCUCUCCUUCAUAGUCAAAGUCCCGCUAAGCCAUUCAUCACAAUCCCCAUUGCGUAGCAGCAUCCUAUUCCCCUCCAACAACGCCCGUUCACCUUCACACACUGCUGACAGAUUCUAUGUGCCUGUGCGUGUGUGUGUGGGAGAUUAGUAGUCAUAUCCGAAGACAAAGAUCAACUUGCCUCACUUUCACCAAGGUUCGCUGACCUCCCUGGCAGUAAUUCUUCCUGUCAUGACAGAUCCAUUUCCUCAUACCCUGCACAUUAAACCCCCCCCCCUAUUGCCAAGACACUACACACAGGCUCCCUUUCUUAGCAUGCCCAUGAACACAUUUCAGAGCUGAUGAAGGGCAAAUACUGAUCCCUUGCACCAAACCAAUUCAGACAUGGUGUGUGUGAUAUGUUUCAAGGCUCUAGUAACAGGCCCACUAUAUUCACAAUGACCAUAAGCCACAGAAGAGCACAUUAAACACUUGUUAGCAUGAAUAAGACCUCACCAAACCCACACAAACCCCUCUGUGCAUUUUUGGUAACUAAGGCGGAGCAGAUUGCAAAGCGCUAAGCUUUCCAAAGCCAUCUUACAGGACAUUGGUCCUUUUUCACAGCGUGACAGUGGAGUGAAAAAUAUAACUAUCAUACUGCUGUCAAUAGACCAAAGCUGAAGGGCAUUUACUCUGCUGAACAUUCAAUGAAAACGCCUGUGCAAUAGGAGGCUGGUUACUCCUCUGGUUAGAGAAACUGAAAUCAAAAUCCACAACAAA
rnacentral:lncRNA from 13 species